rnacentral:lncRNA from 1 species
AGAGAUAAUUACUAUUAAAUUUACGAUAGGUUAUAGUUUUAGAUAAGUGUUAUCGUUAGGUUUUCCUAUUUUCCUUUGGCUUUGGGUUUUACAAUUCUAUUCAUCGUUUUAUCAAUAAAACAUAAGAACUUUUGAUCACAAACUAUAAUUUGUCAUUGUAUCAGAGUCAUGUUAAAACAAAAAAGCAAAAUCGAUUUCUUUUUCAUCUUUCAAAGGCCAUGUCGUUGAUCUUCUACAACCGAAGACAAAUUUCUCUCAGCUCUCUGUUUUUCAAAUCAAUAGCAGAGGCUAUUCAUAAAAAUCUUCAUCAGAUAAAACAAGUAGUAUUCAAAUAAAACAAUAAUUCUUGAUAAUUAUCAGUUUUGAGUGUAAAUCAUCUUUCUCGAGUAGUACGAACUAGAACUUCAAAGUUUAACCUC